UACAGAGGGGGCAAGCGUUGUUCGGAAUUACUGGGCGUAAAGGGCGCGUAGGCGGCCUUCUAAGUCGAACGUGAAAUCCCUGGGCUCAACCCAGGAACUGCGUCCGAUACUGGAAGGCUUGAAUCCGGGAGAGGGAUGCAGAAUUCCAGGUGUAGCGGUGAAAUGCGUAGAUAUCUGGAGGAAUACCGGUGGCGAAGGCGGCAUCCUGGACCGGCAUUGACGCUGAUGAGCGAAAGCUAGGGGAGCAAACGGG
rnacentral:rRNA from 1 species